UACGUAGGGGGCUAGCGUUGUCCGGAAUCAUUGGGCGUAAAGAGCGUGUAGGCGGUUUGGUAGGUCCGCUGUGAAAACUCGAGGCUCAACCUCGAGACGCCGGUGGAAACCAUCAGACUAGAGUCCGGAAGAGGAGAGUGGAAUUCCUGGUGUAGCAGUGAAAUGCGCAGAUAUCAGGAAGAACACCCGUGGCUAAGGCGGCUCUCUAGUACGGUACUGACGCUGAGACGCGAAAGCGUGGGGAGCGAACAGG
rnacentral:rRNA from 1 species